GAUGAACGCUGGCGGCGUGCUUAACACAUGCAAGUCGAACGAUUAAGACGGCUUCGGCCGUGUAUAGAGUGGCGAACGGGUGAGUAACACGUGACCAACCUGCCCCGCGCUCCGGGACAACCGCUGGAAACGGCGGCUAAUACCGGAUGCUCCGGGGAGGCCCCAUGGCCUCCCCGGGAAAGCCCCGACGGCGCGGGAUGGGGUCGCGGCCCAUUAGGUAGACGGCGGGGUAACGGCCCACCGUGCCCGCGAUGGGUAGCCGGACUGAGAGGUCGACCGGCCACAUUGGGACUGAGAUACGGCCCAGACUCCUACGGGAGGCAGCAGUGGGGAAUUUUGCGCAAUGGGGGGAACCCUGACGCAGCAACGCCGCGUGCGGGACGAAGGCCUUCGGGUUGUAAACCGCUUUCAGCAGGGAAGAUUCAGACGGUAC
rnacentral:rRNA from 1 species